rnacentral:rRNA from 1 species
CUACGGGCUGCAGCAGUCGAGAAUCUUUCGCAAUGGGGGAAACCCUGACGAAGCGACGCCGCGUGAGCGAUGAAGGCCUUCGGGUUGUAAAGCUCUGUCACGUGGGAAGAAAUCCGGAGAUCUAACAUAUUGAAGGGAUGACUGUACCACGAGAGGAAGCCACGGCUAACUCCGUGCCAGCAGCCGCGGUAAUACGGAGGUGGCAAGCGUUGUUGCGGAUUCAUUGGGUGUAAAGGGCAUGUAGGUGGCUUUGUAAGUCGGAUGUGAAAUCCCUUGGCUUAACUAGGGAACUGCAUCCGAAACUGCUUAGCUUGAGUGCAAGAGAGGAGAACGGAAUUCCCGGUGUAAGGGUGAUAUCUGUAGAGAUCGGGAGGAACACCAGUGGCGAAGGCGGUUCUCUGGACUGCAACUGACACUGAAAUGCGAAAGCUAGGGGAGCAAACAGGAUUAGAUACCCUCGUAGUC